GAUGAAGAACGCAGCGAAAUGCGAUACGUAAUGUGAAUUGCAAAUUCAGUGAAUCAUCGAGUCUUUGAACGCACAUUGCGCCCCCUGGUAUUCCGGGGGGCAUGCCUGUCCGAGCGUCAUUGCUGCCCUCAAGCACGGCUUGUGUGUUGGGCCCCGUCCUCCGAUUCCGGGGGACGGGCCCGAAAGGCAGCGGCGGCACCGCGUCCGGUCCUCGAGCGUAUGGGGCUUUGUCACCCGCUCUGUAGGCCCGGCCGGCGCUUGCCGAUCGACCCAAAUUUUUAUCCAGGUUGACCUCGGAUCAGGUAGGGAUACCCGCUGAACUUAAGCAUAUCAAUAAGCGGAGGA
rnacentral:misc_RNA from 1 species